AUUGAACGCUGGCGGCAUGCCUUACACAUGCAAGUCGAACGGUAACAGGUUAAGCUGACGAGUUGCGAACGGGUGAGUAAUGUAUCGGAACGUGCCCAGUCGUGGGGGAUAACUGCUCGAAAGAGCAGCUAAUACCGCAUACGACCUGAGGGUGAAAGCGGGGGAUCGCAAGGCCUCGCGCGAUUGGAGCGGCCGAUAUCAGAUUAGCUAGUUGGUGAGGUAAAGGCUCACCAAGCCGACGAUCUGUAGCUGGUCUGAGAGGACGACCAGCCACACUGGGACUGAGACACGGCCCAGACGCCUACGGGAGGCAGCAGUGGGGAAUUUUGGACAAUGGGCGCAAGCCUGAUCCAGCCAUGCCGCGUGCGGGAAGAAGGCCUUCGGGUUGUAAACCGCUUUUGUCAGGGAAGAAAAGGUUCUGGCUAAUACCUGGGACUCAUGACGGUACCUGAAGAAUAAGCACCGGCUAACUACGUG
rnacentral:rRNA from 1 species